GACGAACGCUGGCGGCGUGCUUAACACAUGCAAGUCGAACGGAAAGGCCCUGCUUUUGUGGGAUGCUCGAGUGGCGAACGGGUGAGUAACACGUGAGUAACCUGCCCUUGACUUUGGGAUAACUUCAGGAAACUGGGGCUAAUACCGGAUAGGAGCUCCUGCUGCAUGGUGGGGGUCGGAAAGUUUCGGCGGUUGGGGAUGGACUCGCGGCUUAUCAGCUUGUUGGUGGGGUAGUGGCUUACCAAGGCUUUGACGGGUAGCCGGCCUGAGAGGGUGACCGGCCACAUUGGGACUGAGAUACGGCCCAGACUCCUACGGGAGGCAGCAGUGGGGAAUAUUGCACAAUGGGCGGAAGCCUGAUGCAGCAACGCCGCGUGCGGGAUGACGGCCUUCGGGUUGUAAACCGCUUUCGCCUGUGACGAAGCGUGAGUGACGGUAAUGGGUAAAGAAGCACCGGCUAACUACGUG
rnacentral:rRNA from 1 species